rnacentral:rRNA from 1 species
UACGAAGGGUGCAAGCGUUACUCGGAAUUACUGGGCGUAAAGCGUGCGCAGGCGGUUUUGUAAGCCAGAUGUGAAAGCCCCGGGCUUAACCUGGGAAUGGCAUUUGGGACUGCAAGGCUUGAGUGCGGCAGAGGAGACUGGAAUUCCUGGUGUAGCAGUGAAAUGCGUAGAUAUCAGGAGGAAUACCGAUGGCGAAGGCAGGUCUCUGGGCUGACACUGACGCUCAUGCACGAAAGCGUGGGGAGCAAACAGG